GUUCAUCGACCGUCACUUUCUCAAACUCUUAGAACAACUCUCUCUCUCUUUUUUCAUCUUCCACCUGAGAGCAACAAUAACCAAGAUGGUUUUCUUCAUCUUCGAAGCUCUCCCUUCUUCUUAGAGAGGCUCUUUGUUUUAAAGUUCUUCUCUCCCUGCCAAACUUUAAUGGUUGUCAGGGAGAGGCUAUUUGGCAGGGAGAGAAGAACUUGCAGGUGAAAUAUUACAAAUUUAGCAGGGAGGCUAUUUAGCAUGUUGUUAGCAGGGAGAGGCUAUUUGUAAUGGUUGUCAUCAUGAAGCAUGUUGUUGAAACUGGUGCUUCAUUACAAAACCUCAAAUCAGCUGAAAUACAAGCCGAAAAGAAGAUAAGCCUAAAUCCAUGGAAGCUCAUAACAUUAACAAAGAUUUCACAGUAGGAUGCAUACUCUCCAUCAAGACCCCUCUUGGAGAAGAAUUUCAAGGCCAAGUCUUGACCUUUGACCGCUCAUCCAACAUACUUGUUCUUAAUAUCCUUCUCCUCCUGUUUUAUCAAGAUUUUCCCUUAAAAAGUUUCAUUUUUUCUUUUCAGUAUUUUCGCAUGCAUUUAUAGUAUUUAUUAUGAAUUGGUAAUUUUUCUUGUGGGUUUUGAAAUUCUUUAACUUUGGAUUUGAAAAAUACAAGAAGGAAUAAAUUCAGGGCCAGGGCCAAACAGGAAUAUUAGGCUAUUGAAAGCCAAUUACAUCAAGAAGUUUACUUUUUUGGGUCAAGGCAAGCUGAGUUGGAGGCUGAAAGAUUUAGGAUUGCUGUUACAGCUGAAGCUCGGAGCAUUUUUUAUGCUCUGUCCAAAACGGUUUGCCACAAGCUUUGUUAAGCAGAAUUGGAUUUCUAAAGGAAAUGCUUUUUCUUCCAACUCUUAAUACGGGAGACGAGAAAGUGAUUGCUGGUAUUGCUUGCUUGAUGUUAGAAAUUGGUCAGACAGCACCAUCUUUGAUUUUGAAAGCAAGUCUUGAGGCAGUAAUACUCAUGGAUGCUCUGUUGAGGUUAGAUCUUGAACAUUUGACAAUGAUGUGCUUAAGGAGAUAACGUGUAUCAUAGCCAGAGGUGUGUGGGGUCGUAUUGGUUCCUCAUACUAAAACGUAUAAAUAUCUCGUGAUUUCAAAUUUUAUUGUCUUUAAAUAUAUAUUUGAUAUUAUGCAUUAUUUAUUUGAAAAAAUGGAUUUCUGUAAAUUUAAGUUAUUUGUGAAGAUAUUACCCUGUGCUUUAUCAUGCUCGCAAAUUUUACGCUUGGAACAAGUACCAACUAUGAAGUUCUUAAUUAGACGCUGUGGAAAGAUUAAUAAUUGUACUUUCAAUCUAUUUUCCAAAGGAGAAAGCCAAAGAAGAAAUUUAGUCAAUGCUCACCGAGAUAUAGUGCCCGACAUCUUCCAAUCAUAGCAACCGCCAUUAGCAUCGUCUCUUAUUUUUUCCAAUCAUAGUCAAUGGAUUGUAGGAAUGAAAAGAUUAACCUCUAAGUGAAACUUCAUGUAUAGGGGAAUAUCUGACUGUUUUGCUAGCAAUACAAAAUAAAAAACAAUUGGUUGCGGCCAGAUUAUCUUUGCAUUUUGUCCCUUGGUAAGUGUUUAGUUGUAAAACAAGACAUAUUGUACUAAUGUUGGAAUCUUAUUGAGUUUGUGUAAGUGUGACUAAAUAUAAUGUAUAUUGAUGAUAUCUUGGCAAUGAAUACUCUUUCUCAACUCUUUUUGAUGCUCCUUUUGUUCCCAUCAUGAUUCUGUUGUUUGGUGAUUUCUCAAAUCAUUUUCUUGGUUUUGUUCUUGUUCUAGCUUUUAUUUGUUUAAGCUAUCAUGGGACAUCUUUUUUUAUUUUAACCCUUUUGAUCAUUUUUUCCUCAUGCUAGAUGGCUACCAAAGCACAUAGAAAUAUGGUAAUUUCUUCCUGACAAAGAAGAAAAUGGUUGACUUAAGAUAUGCAUGUUAGUAACUGUACUUCUUACUACAAUUUAAUUUGUUUGAUUGAAGCGUUUAUAAGGUUCCUAAGCAAGACACAGAGAGCAUCAUCCAGAAAGCUAAUUCUUUUGACUUUUGAAUCUUUGAAUACCUGUGCAUCAUGGCUAUGGUAAAAACUGGGUUCUAAAUUUCUUUUUUGCUUUUCAAAAUAGAAGAAAAUUGUGCCCAAGAUAAAGGUGCAAAGGUGCAACGGUUUAUGCAUAGGCGGUCUACUAUGAGAGAGAGGUAAACAAGAUUAAAGUGAUAAAUUAAAGUGAUAUUUUGGCCUCAAAUGCCAUUUUGAAAGACUGGAAGCAUAUGCAGUUUUUCACUCCCGAUUGUGUUUGAGUCUUGUAUCUCUUACUAUUUACAUUAAAAAAAGGAGCCUUCAUGGGUGUUAGUAGUUGAGAGAA